rnacentral:tRNA from 1 species
CAAUGACUUAGGUUAGUUGAAAUGUGGUGAAUAACAAAGAAGAGUCAGGUAAAUCACAAAAGGUCAUCUUCCUGCUAUGAGACGUUAACGGACACCACACACCGAGUUGACACGUUCCAGAGCAGUAAACGUGAGUGAUGCAGAACAGAGGAGAGAAGUUCGUUUGACGUCUACCGGACUUACUCGUCAGAUUGCACUUUCACAAACUUCCCAGCCACCCCCACGGCCUCGCCUGACAGACAGCUGGGCACGGUCCGCCACUCCGCCCUCUGCCGCUCAGUCUCUCCAGCCCUUGCCCGAGGAAGUCCCCUGAGCUCCGCAAGUUGCUUCUAGUUUCUAAAGGAUAAUUUUCAGUCCUCAAGAGACGAAGAUCAGAGCGUCUUACAAGUACAGAAAUGCGCGUAGAACCUAUCGAGAAAUUUCUUGCAAUAAAAUGUCUCAGGAACCUGCCUAAGAUUUCCCUGCCUGGUGCUUGUAAAGCAACUGGGGCUCUGGGAGUAGCAUUUGCCUGGCUAUGAGUUACAGCGUUUAGAUGUUGUUGAUUCAAAGAAUGGGAAAGUGUACAAAGAAGAAUGGCAACUCAAUCAAGAAAAUAUCCUGAAGGAAAGGAUGGGUUUAAGGUUACUUUUACCUAAUCUAGAAACAUAAGGACCCAAAAACCGGUGGGUUUCCGUAGUGUAGUGGUUAUCACGUUCGCCUAACACGCGAAAGGUCCCCGGUUCGAAACCGGGCGGAAACAAGCAGUACCUUUUCCCGAGAAGUCUGAAUUUUGGUCCAGAAAUGUCCACUCUGAAUUUCUAUACCUUUGCACCAACUCUCAAGUCCUCGCGCUUCCUUUGCCGCCCUGGACUUUCAAUUGCAAGAAUUAUGUAACAAGACCAGAGCUGAGACUUGCUUCCUCGCCCCCCUUAACAAGUAAUCAUGUCCUAUCCAUUCCAUUGGUCAGAGAAGAUACUGCGCUUGGCUGCGGUGGCUAACCAUCCUAGGAGGAGCGCUUCCUAUCUCUUAUGGACAGGAACAGAGAAUGAAUCUCCCUGACACAAAAGUGUGGUUGAUGAAUGCAAAGAGGAUCAGGAGCCAACUGUAACUGCAGGAGAAAGAGCUGAGUGGAGAGUGGUUCCUGGAGUCAGAGAGGAAACACACUGGAAGGGAGAGAUCAAGUGGAGCCUGGUUAUUUCUUUCAGGACUUUGGCCUUUAUUCUGAUAAAAUGAGGAGAUCUUGGAUUUUAAGCAGGGAAGUAGCUUUACAUGACUUGAGUGUUUCUGCCAGCUCUAUGGAGAAUAUUUUUCAGAGAGAAAACAAUGGAAGCAAGGAGAUCUAUUAAGUCCCUCUCGUCGUGCUGCAUAUCAGAAAUCACUGUGGUCUGGACAGGAUGGUGGCGGUCCAGUUGAUGAGAAGUAGUCACAGUGUAGAUAUAUUUUAAAGACAGAGUCAAGAGACAUUCCUGAGAAAAUGGGACAAAGUUACAUGAAGACUGGUUCCAAAACUAUGCUAAAGUUUAAAAUGGUGGAAGAAAUCAUUAGGUGUCCACUACGGAGUUCAAGAUAUGGAAAGAAGAGAAUGGAGAUGGAGAAGUAAACACCACGUGCGUCCUUCUGUGAAAUUUUGGAAAAGGGAAAUAUGCCUUUCCUGCUGUGUUGACCCAACAUCUCUGGAGGGUCAGAUCUAAGGUGAUGUUUGCUCCUCUCUCCCACCAUCGCUUCAAGCAUGUGUCCUUUUUGCUUUAGACAAAGAACUCAAU